AUUGAACGCUGGCGGCAGGCCUAACACAUGCAAGUCGAGCGGAUGAAGGGAGCUUGCUCCUGGAUUCAGCGGCGGACGGGUGAGUAAUGCCUAGGAAUCUGCCUGGUAGUGGGGGAUAACGUCCGGAAACGGGCGCUAAUACCGCAUACGUCCUGAGGGAGAAAGUGGGGGAUCUUCGGACCUCACGCUAUCAGAUGAGCCUAGGUCGGAUUAGCUAGUUGGUGGGGUAAAGGCCUACCAAGGCGACGAUCCGUAACUGGUCUGAGAGGAUGAUCAGUCACACUGGAACUGAGACAAGGUCCAGACUCAUACGGGAGGCAGCAGUGGGGAAUAUUGGACAAUGGGCGAAAGCCUGAUCCAGACAUGCCGCGUGUGUGAAGAAGGUCUUCGGAUUGUAAAGCACUUUAAGUUGGGAGGAAGGGCAGUAAGUUAAUACCUUGCUGUUUUGACGUUACCAACAGAAUAAGCACCGGCUAACUUCGUG
rnacentral:rRNA from 1 species